AUACACAUAUACAUAUACAUGUAUAUAUGUUCAUAUAUAUAUGUGUGUGUGUGUGUGUGUGUGUGUAU